rnacentral:rRNA from 1 species
AGUGAACGCUGGCGGUAGGCCUAACACAUGCAAGUCGAACGGCAGCACAGUAAGAGCUCGCUCUUACGGGUGGCGAGUGGCGGACGGGUGAGGAAUACAUCGGAAUCUACUUUUUCGUGGGGGAUAACGUAGGGAAACUUACGCUAAUACCGCAUACGACCUACGGGCGAAAGCAGGGGAUCUUCGGACCUUGCGCGAUUGAAUGAGCCGAUGUCGGAUUAGCUAGUUGGCGGGGUAAAGGCCCACCAAGGCGACGAUCCGUAGCUGGUCUGAGAGGAUGAUCAGCCACACUGGAACUGAGACACGGUCCAGACUCCUACGGGAGGCAGCAGUGGGGAAUAUUGGACAAUGGGCGCAAGCCUGAUCCAGCCAUACCGCGUGGGUGAAGAAGGCCUUCGGGUUGUAAAGCCCUUUUGUUGGGAAAGAAAAGCAGCAGGUUAAUACCCCGCUGUUCUGACGGUACCCAAAGAAUAAGCACCGGCUAACUUCGUG